AUCCAUUUUGUUUUGUUUUAUUACUUCAUACAAUUGAAAACGUUUCCUGUUAUCCCUUGCCCCAUUUAUAUUUAGAGAAGCAAUAAAAAUUUCUCCCAUAAAUGAGGAAAGAAAAAGCCCUAGCAAAACGAAAUCAAAACAUGUAUGAUUUUUAUGUACACUGUUAGAUGUCGCUGUAGAUUUAGCAGUACAUUACUGUAAAAAUCCACAGUACUAUACUGUAUGUGUACAUUACAGUACAGUACUGCAGUUCAUAAUGCAUUCUGGGUAAAUUUGUUUGAGCGGGAAAAUUUUACAGUAUAUUUUGGUCUUGAUGUAACCUUGCUGUAGCCAUUGCUGUAAUGUGCCAGGUGUACUUGCAAUAAUCAGAGAAAGUGCGCCAACGUCAAAUCACACAGAGGGAGAGAGAGCACAACUCCUGGCUGCAGCUGAAGGAGGACGAUUGAUUUCUGGCAGUUCGGUAAGUUUGAAAUAUUUCUGUUUCAUGAAAACUUAAUUUUUAGUUUAAGAAUGUUGUCAAUAGUUUGUCACAAUAUUGUUUUAAACGUGCAAUGAGAGAGAAAAACGGUCGCCAACAAAGUUUCAAUCUCCCUCAGAAAGUAAGCUUACACACAGAUGUCUACCGCUGCUUUAACUCGCUUUACACCUUUUUUUUUAAUGAAUAUAGGGUUGUUUUAACUAAAUUAUGAGGGUUUUGGUGAGUUUAUAUUGUGUUGAAAGUGUGGUGACAAUGAAACUAUUUUUAACGAAAUGGACAAAGACAACCCGCCAGCGCGGUCUUGCGGUCCCAGCAUAAUGGUCGUUUAUCUCGGCGUUUCAUCCGUUCAGUUAGCGUCAGAGAAAAGUAUUAAGUUCGACUGUUUGGCAAGGCUGACUCGUGGUUGUAAACAGUCAGGACUUGUCACACCGUACACAGCAUACUGUAGUACUGAACUCCUCCACAGAAGUGAAAACAAGAAACCUCAUAACUGGAUACAUGCAUCGAACUCAUCGCAGCUUUAACUUCUACCAAAUAUCAUUCAGACCUGGGCUCAUCUUAAUAUCAGAUGAACGAAAGGGAUUGCCGCGCGUAUUGUUGUUGUUAUUAUAUUACGGUAUAUCAUCAAAAGCAGAGAAUAUCUUCUCUAAAGCGUUUUACACGUCCAUCUUACCAUUGCUUGUAAGCUGGAUUGGGUAAGAUGGAUCAUCUUUAAAGGCACCAGGAGUUAAGGCAGAUGUGGAGGCACAACGGGUGAUACCAGACACACACCAAGCACAUUAUGUUUGGACAUUCAAUCAUGACAUGAUCCAGGUGGAUGCUGUCCAUUGAGGAAAGAGUUUGUUCAGCGGUAAGUGAAUCUUCUGUAUUUUAAUGUAAUUAGGUGUGGA